CUCACAAAAGCUGUAUGAUUUCGUGUACAUAAUGUGUUUAAAUGUUUUAGUUCCUUCAUAUAUACAACAAUCCACAAGAAUUUUAAUCACUUAAUUGUUGCAAGCAUAACGUUUCAUUUAAAGUUUAGGGUCAAUAAAUUUUCAGUUGACAUUCUGAUGCCUUUCCUGUUUGUCUUCACCUGGCCGCCAUUUUAAGUUUAGUGACAAGCGCGAGGUAAUUUUUUUUUUCUACAUAGUGCAGAAUCCAUUGGAGUGUUAAAAGUCACAUUUGUAAAUUUAAAAUUUCGUAGAAUUUCAUUUAAAAGGAAUCUGUGGUAUUACUGCAAAUCCAAAACCAGUCGGUGAAACAGUCAACCUUUGAAAACAUGUUUUCUAAAAUUUCCCGGUUUCAAGCCAAACUGAGAUUUGGCGUCUGCCACUGUCAGCUGAGUCACUGUCAAGUUCACAAGAUGCGAGGACAAAGAAAAUGGCGGCCAAGAAGAGAGUACUGGAAAUGAUGCGGGAUUUUUGCAGUUUAUGAACAAAAUGCGAUGUGUCAUGGGAUUUCCUAUCAGCGUGGGGAUACAUAAGCAAAUGAAUGCUGAUAUGGAGGUGCUCUUGGCUUCACAGCGAGCUGCUAUGACUCUGUUCCAGGCGGGCGUGGAUCAAGAAUCAAACUGGUUAUCUGAGAGGGAUGCUGACGAAAGAGAAAAUAUUGCCAGAGCUCGGGUAAUGCUUCUCGAUUCGUCAGACUUGAGUGAACAGCCGCAUCCGUGUGUGUAUUUAAAGAUGAAAAGAAUAAAAUACAUUCUUAACUCUG